rnacentral:rRNA from 1 species
UACGUAGGGUGCAAGCGUUAAUCGGAAUUACUGGGCGUAAAGCGUGCGCAGGCGGUGAUGUAAGUCCGAUGUGAAAUCCCCGGGCUUAACCUGGGAACUGCAUUGGUGACUGCAUCGCUCGAGUAUGGCAGAGGGGGAUAGAAUUCCACGUGUAGCAGUGAAAUGCGUAGAGAUGUGGAGGAAUACCGAUGGCGAAGGCAGCCCCCUGGGUCAAUACUGACGCUCAUGCACGAAAGCGUGGGGAGCAAACAGG